rnacentral:rRNA from 1 species
UACGUAGGGUGCAAGCGUUGUCCGGAAUUAUUGGGCGUAAAGAGCUUGUAGGCGGUUUGUCGCGUCUGCUGUGAAAUUUCGGGGCUCAACCCCGAACUUGCAGUGGGUACGGGCAGACUAGAGUGUGGUAGGGGAGACUGGAAUUCCUGGUGUAGCGGUGAAAUGCGCAGAUAUCAGGAGGAACACCGAUGGCGAGGCAGGUCUCUGGGCCAUAACUGACGCUGAGAAGCGAAAGCAUGGGGAGCGAACAGG